AUUCCUCUGUAGUUACGGCGGAAAAAUCCUCCCUCGUUACCCUGACGGUAAACUCCGUUAUCACGGUGGUGAAACCCGUGUCCUCGCCGUUGAUCGCUCCAUUUCCUUCUCCGGUUAUUAAUGAAACGCCGAGCAGCCUUUGAAUGAUCCGAGGUAGCAAUGGGCGGAAUGUAGUUGAUUUUCAGUUUUUACCAGAUUCGAUGUAUUAAUUGCAAGGGGGCAAAGCAGCCAGCGCAGCAAUGCUUGUGUCAACUACCAAACAAAAUCCCAAGUAGCAAUAGCAAUAGGGGACCAUUGGAAGAACCUGAUGAGUCAUUACCGAAACGCGUUGAAUAUGCAUGGAGGGGUCGAAAGCCAUGAAAUCGUCCCAUUUAAUAGCUGGUAUAUAUAAACUGACGAAGGUCCGUCUCAACGAUAUAAUAAUAGGUAAGAGUAAUUUCGUUAAAAUAAAGCCAAAAAAGAGAAAAUUGAGAAUAUGAAAUCAGAAAACAAAAGAAAAUGAGUUCCCCUUAAUCCAAGACAAAGAACAGGAAGAACAAAGGGCUGCUAACUAUACAAGUCCAUGAUUUUUGGUUCUCCACUCACGUAUCAUUCAAAAAGGAAGAUUCCCUUUGCUGUCCCAUGCAAUUUUGGAGAUAUAUGAAGGAUUCAUUUGCAAUAUUAAAAUUGAAUUAAGGUUAUCCUACCCCACCAUGUGCGAUCUUUUCAUUUUUUCUUUUUCCUAUUGUUUUUCCUCCUAACAUGAACAUGAUUAAAAAGAAAAACUAUACUAAAAUGGAUGCCACCGAGACAGCAUGAAUUUGGCAAGUCUAUUUUUGACAAUGAGUGCUGUGACUGUGAGGUCACCAUUGAUGAUAUCGGAGUUGAAACCUUUGAUUGGUGAUAAUGAGCAAGAGGCCAGGGUGUGGCUGAAAGCCAGGCACUGAUGGUGAAGCUUGAGUGGCAUUGUGGCUUUAACUGUUUAGGGAACCUUUCGAGUAUGGACAAGAUAAGGAUGCUUGAUCUGAAUUAUUGGAGAGUGGAGAAGAACAUUGCAGGCAAUUACUUAAAAAUCAAAAUGAGAAAUACAGAGAAGAUUAUUUAUAAAAAUGGGGAUGGAGACAGAGAUAAAUAUUUGCCUAAGAAAAAAGUUUGUUUUCUUUUUUUUUUUUUAACUUUAAUGAAA